CUUUUGAAAUACAUGUACGUACACGUUGCCAAACUGAAUCUGUCGAAUUGACUGAUCGUUCCUUGACAACAAACGGUUGAGAGGAAAAGACAAUUUCGAAGAAAUGACAACGAUGAAAUUCGAUCGCGACAGUACGGCCCAUCGUGUAAAACGAUCGUUACGUAAAAACAGUGGUCUCAGAUUGAGAGGUUCCGAAAAUGAAACAGCGAUCGAGAGAAAAAAAAAAAGAAGAAAGAAUUGCAGAAGAUUUCCUGUUUGAAACGAGCGAAUGUCUGUAGGAUGUGGAACCGCUUUUGACACGUGAACAACUCACGUUGCGAUCAACGAGGAUUCCGUAAUUAUGAAUUCUACUGAAUAGAACAAGGAAAACGAAUUCGUUGCGCGAUGAAAACUUAUGUACAGCCAACGAAUUUCACUUCAGUGUAAAUAAAUAGAAAUAAUAUGUUUCUU